rnacentral:rRNA from 1 species
UACGAAGGGGGCUAGCGUUGCUCGGAAUGACUGGGCGUAAAGGGCGCGUAGGCGGUUUGUACAGUCAGAUGUGAAAUUCCCGGGCUCAACCUGGGGGCUGCAUUUGAUACGUGCGGACUUGAGUGGGGAAGAGGGUCGUGGAAUUCCCAGUGUAGAGGUGAAAUUCGUAGAUAUUGGGAAGAACACCGGUGGCGAAGGCGGCGACCUGGUCCUUGACUGACGCUGAGGCGCGAAAGCUUGGGGAGCGAACGGG